AUUGAACGCUGGCGGCAGGCCUAACACAUGCAAGUCGAGCGGAUGAAGAGAGCUUGCUCUCUGAUUUAGCGGCGGACGGGUGAGUAAUGCCUAGGAAUCUGCCUGGUAGUGGGGGAUACCGUUCCGAAAGGAACGCUAAUACCGCAUACGUCCUACGGGAGAAAGCAGGGGACCGUCGGCCCUUGCGCUAUCAGAUGAGCCUAGGUCGGAUUUGCUAGUUGGGGAGGUAAUGGCCCACCAAGGCGACGAUCCGUAACUGGUCUGAGAGGAUGAUCAGUCACACUGGAACUUAGACACGGUCCAGACUCCUACGGGAGGCAGCAGUGGGGAAUAUUGGACAAUGGGCGAAAGCCUGAUCCAGCCAUGCCGCGUGUGUGAAGAAGGUCUUCGGAUUGUAAAGCACUUUAAGUUGGGGGGAAGGGCAGUAAGUUAAUACCUUGCUGUUUUGACGUUACCGACAGAAUAAGCACCGGCUAACUUCGUGCCAGCAGCCGCAGUAAUAC
rnacentral:rRNA from 1 species